GGGAGAAUUAAUGAUUCCAAAUCCAUUGUUUUUUUCUCUGCAAGGCAGAUGAUGAAUCAUCACAACACAUGCACUACCAUCUGAUCUCCC